rnacentral:rRNA from 1 species
GAUUAAGCCAUGCAUGUCUAAGUAUAAGCAAUCUAUACGUGAAACUGCGAAUGGCUC